rnacentral:lncRNA from 10 species
UGAGAACUAUCAGCAGCAUGUGUGAAAACAAUAUAUAUAUAGUCAGGUGCAGGUAUUACUAAGAAGAUGGCCAUCUAUAAAACCAGGAAGAAGGCCUUCACCAAAACCCCAACCAUGUUAACAUCCUGAUCUCAGACUCCAAGCCUCCAGAGCUGUAAGAAAUAAUUGUUUCUUGUCUAAGAACAUUUAAGCUACCCAGUCUAAGGUGCUCUGUAUAGCAGGCCAAACUGGCUAAGAUACCCAAAGAGAGGAAUUAAACACUACAAUGGUCUUAGACGCGUUAAAAGGUUUUCCCCAACUUUUCAAGUCCCUUGUCUUGUGUUGUAUUUGUGGGGAGGGGUUGUUUCAGGGUUUCUUUUGGUUUUUCCUGCCAGGUAGACAGAACUGACAUAGAAAAAGGGCUGGAGAGAGAUUCUGUUGCGUAGACUAGUCCUGUGGAAAAAAACAAGCUCCGUUAAAAUGUCUGCCUUACUGGUUUCUCCAGGGAAGGAAAAAUAUGUUUCCACCUUUUUUUCUAAGUAUUCGUCCUUAGUUUUGAUUUUGGAAAGAUGUUAAGCAUUUAUUUUUAGUUAAAAAUAAAAACUAAUUUCAUACUAAAAAAAAGAUCUUUGAGACCACUAUGAAUAGCUGCCAAACUGCUUCUUUUUUUUUUUUUUUUGAGAUGGAGUCUCGCUGUGUCGCCCAGGCUGGAGUGCAGUGACAUGAUCUCGGCUCACUGCAAGCCCCGCCUCCCGGGUUCACACCACUCUCCUGCCUCAGCAUGCCGAGUAGCUGGGACUACAGACGCCCGCCACCAGGCCCAGCUAAUUUUUUGUAUUUUCAGUAGAGACGAGGUUUCACCGUGUUAGCCAGGAUGGUCUCGAUCUCCUGACCUCGUGAUCUGCCCGUCUCGGCCUCCCAAAGUCCUGGGAUUAUAGGCGUGAGCCACCGCGCCCAGCCGCUGCCAAACUAUUUCUACUACUCAAAGGCUGAUGACUUGAUAAUUUUUUUAUUGAAAGGAUUUAUUCCCCUUGUUAAAAUUUAGCAUCAAAAUUUGUGAAUAACAUUUCAACUUGAGAAAUCUGACUUAAAAAAUAAAAAAAAUUGUGAAUGACUGAGUGAUAGUAUAACAUAAACUGGGUUACUAGCUAACAAUGCAUGGAAUACGAACACCAGCGUACUAACUCAGUAGAUGAUGACUGCAUGUAGAAAAGUAAAAAGUUUUCUGGGGGAAAAAAGAGGGAUUGGAAGAAACCAAAAUAUUAAGAUAUGCAAUCUAAGAAGUAGAUUCACAGGGAAUUGUUCCGUCCUAUACACUUCAUUGUAGAUUUAAAGUACUUUAUAAAUUUUAUAAAGAAAAGUAAAAUAUCAGUAUACUAGAAACAAAUAAAAAUAUACAGGUUGAAUAUCCUGCAAAAAACCAAAAUGUGAAAUGCCCCCAAAUCUGAGAGUUUUUGAGUACCAACAUGAUGAUCAAAAGAAAUGCUGCAGUGAUUUCCAGUGAAAUUUCCAGAUUUGGGAUGCUCAACUGGUAAAUAUAUAAUACAAAUAUUCUAAAAUCUCAAACACUUCUGGUCCUGAGCAUUUUGAAUAAGGGAUUGUAUAGACAAUCUCUUUGAGGAUUUUUUUUAUUACUGGAUGAGUUAUAAUACAACUCACAGGUCUAUUAAUAAACCAUUUCGCAUUUCCUAAUCAGUUUUUAUUAAGUCACUAACCAAUACUGUAUGUAUGUAUUUCCAGUAAAGAAACCCUUCUAAAAUCUAUUUCCAUCUAUCUUAUUUGGGCCAUUUCCUAAAAUAUGCUCCAGUAUCAACAUUUUGCUUAAAUUUAAAAACAGAAAUUGUACAUAAUUUCCUAAACUAAAUUUCCUUUAUAAACCACCUAAAUUCCCAUUUUUACACAUACAAAUAUCAAAAACUAAAUAAUAUUAUAAAGGACAGUUAACUGGUUUUAUACUUUGGGAGGACUUUUUAGAGAACAUUUAAGCAAUAUUAAUCACUUAAGAAUUUAAGUCAAAGCGAAGUAUAACCACAUAGUAACACUGAGCAUUCAAUAACAUUCUUCAAAAUGUAAACUUCAACAAUACCUUCGUUCUUUGGAUCACAGACAAAUUUUCUUCAACUCCCUCCACCCAAUAAAACACUUGAAAAU